rnacentral:rRNA from 1 species
UGGGGAAUAUUGGACAAUGGGCGCAAGCCUGAUCCAGCCAUGCCGCGUGAGUGAUGAAGGCCCUAGGGUUGUAAAGCUCUUUCACCGGUGAAGAUAAUGACGGUAACCGGAGAAGAAGCCCCGGCUAACUUCGUGCCAGCAGCCGCGGUAAUACGAAGGGGGCUAGCGUUGUUCGGAUUUACUGGGCGUAAAGCGCACGUAGGCGGACUUUUAAGUCAGGGGUGAAAUCCCGGGGCUCAACCCCGGAACUGCCUUUGAUACUGGAAGUCUUGAGUAUGGUAGAGGUGAGUGGAAUUCCGAGUGUAGCGGUGAAAUUCGUAGAUAUUCGGAGGAACACCAGUGGCGAAGGCGGCUCACUGGACCAUUACUGACGCUGAGGUGCGAAAGCGUGGGGAGCAAACAGG